UGGCGGAUCGUCUAAUCGGCAGGACAGAGGAUUCUGAUUCCUCCAAUCUAGGUUCGAGUCCUAGUCCGCCAGCCA
rnacentral:tRNA from 1 species